GGACUACACGGGUUUCUAAUCCCGUUCGCUCCCCUGGCUUUCGCGCCUCAGCGUCAGAUGAGGUCCAGCGUGCCGCCUUCGCCACCGGAGUUCCUGUGGAUAUCAACGCAUUUCACCGCUCCACCCACAGUUCCGCACGCCCCUACCCCCCUCGAGAUCGCCAGUAUCCGAGGCCCUUCCCCGGUUGAGCCGGAGGAUUUCACCCCAGACUUGGCAGCCCGCCUACGCGCCCUUUAAGCCCAGUGAUUCCGAACAACGUUCGCUCGGUUCGUCUUACCGCGGCGGCUGGCAC
rnacentral:rRNA from 3 species